CUGUCAGUUUCAGUCCGCUGCCGGCAAACAGACUGGAACAACUAGGCAGACCAGGGCCGAAGGGGAAGGGAAAUCCUUGAGCAGUCAGAUCGCAUUGCAGGUGCACCCGCCCCGGGGGCUCGGCGGAAGUUCCGUUCAGCUUUCCUUCCCAACGUUUUUGGGGUGCUGGGGACAGCGCUGCACCAGGAGGCUCUCCUCCCCUUUCUGAUCAAGCGAUCAACUUGGAGGAAAGGCGCCCAACGGCCAGCCCAGCCGCAGCUUCUUCAAACUGCGAAUAAGGGUGGAGAACUCCUGCUGUGCUGUAUUUGGAUGAUGGCGAUGACAGACCACAGAUGGAACACCCAGCGGGAGGAAAGUGGGAUUCUCCUGAGGAAGAAGGAUGUCUCCACAAAACAAAUCUGCUCAAAGCUCCAGAACUCUUCUUCUAAACCUCCUGCGUAGGGUGGCUCUUCCUCGGGGACAAAGAAUAAAAUCCACAUCAAUACAGGUAAUGCUUGAAUG
rnacentral:lncRNA from 1 species